UACGUAGGGGCCUAGCGUUGUCCGGAUUUAUUGGGCGUAAAGAGCUCGUAGGCGGUUCGGUAAGUCAGGUGUGAAAUCUCCACGCUCAACGUGGAGGCGCCACCUGAAACUGCCGUGACUCGAGUCCGGUAGGGGAGUGUGGAAUUCCCGGUGUAGCGGUGAAAUGCGCAGAUAUCGUAAGGAAGACCAGUGGCGAAGGCGGGUCUCUGGACAGUUCCUGACGCUGAGGCACGAAGGUCAGGGGAGCAAACGGG
rnacentral:rRNA from 1 species